GCACUCGCUUCAUCAGUACAUAUACUAAAAUUGGAAUUAUACAGAGAAGAUUAGCAUGGCCCCUGAGCAAGGAUGACACACAAACUUGUGAAGUGUUCCAUAUUUUC